rnacentral:tRNA from 1 species
GCGGACGUGGCUCAGCUCUAGAGCAUCGCCUUGCCAAGGCGAGGGUCGCGGGUUCGAUUCCCGUCGUCCGCUCCA